UGAUCUCUCCAACCUAUCGGCUCCUUCCCCUAAUCCUGAUCCUCUUCUGCCUAACGCCGCGGGUGUCCGCCAUCAGCAGAGAUAAGCGCCCCUGAUCCCUCAGUCCAUCCUAGCUUGAUCUGCUCAGCCUUCGCCUUCCGUCGUGUCGCCGCCUCCGCCCUCACACCCGCCUCCUCUGCGAUGCUGCAUCGCACCCCAGGUCCCCACCCAUCUUUGCUCCUCUGCCCCGUUGUGUCGUCGCUGAGUCGCGCCUCUGCGGGUCGGUGCUAGGGGAUUUGUUCCAUGCGACACUUGUUCGUCUCGCCUCGGCGUCAGGAAAGGAUUCCUCCUUCACCUCCUGUGCACCGCCACUAACCCACUACCGCGCCACCUGACCCAUCUCUCUCCACGGUGAGGCAAUGGCCGAGCGGCAGCGAUGCUAGGAGCCUGUAAAGGAGACAACACAAGUUUCCAUGGCCCUAGCCGUGCCCCCACGCUGCCGAGGAGGACGCACUGCGGCAGUGCGCUCGCUGCAAUGGUCAACAAGUUUGGAAGUUUGCGUGCUUCACUACUGCUUGUGGACUAACAUCAUUUGGCAGUGUAUGUUGUGUCAUCUCUUAGCUCAUAAGUGUUCAUCUGAAGGAAAUCCACAUUGUCUGAAACUGCAACUUAUUAUAGAAGCUCACAAGCCAUGGAUUAUCGUCAGCCGGGUAGUUGUCAUCAGGGCGCCAAGCCGCCAACCAUGCUGCCGCCGCAUUGGUGGAUGGUUCUGCUGGUGUGUCCCAUGGUGGCGAUGUUGAGGCUAAGGCGUGGGUGGGUGUGCCUGGUCUUUUCGCUCAUGGUGGCUACGCCGAGGCACGGGUUGUUGCGCCUGAUCCUGUCGCUCAUGGUGGCGAUGGUGACGUGUGUGUGUGUGUGUGGAUGUGCUUGCUCUUUUCGAGCAUAGUGACGUCGUUGAGUGUUACCACCAAAAGAAAAGGAUUAAUACCUCUGCAGGUGCUUAUCUAUUUGGGUUUUGGGAUUUGAUGCAUAUGUACCAUGGGUAAGCCCACGAUUAUCAAAACUCCAACCAAGUAGUACUUUAUUUAUUACAAAUUGUUCUUUGACUGUACUUAUGCAAUUGAAUUGGCAACAUUUCACUAUGUAGCAAUGGAAUAUGACAAAUAAAUAGAAAUUCUAUUUCGUCCGGUAUACCACAAAUUGUCACCAGCAGAACAUGAAGUUAUAUCUUCUCUCUCCCAAUCUUUGUUGAAUUUUAUGAAAAUUCUUUAUCUUAUAUUGUAUUACCUCCCGUAAAUUUGUAACAAUUGGUAGUGGAUGGCAGGAUGUUUUUUAAUUGUCCUCUGAAUUUAGGCAAAGGUUAUUUUUAGGAGAUCUUGAAAGGGAAUUUUGUCUCCUAGAGUUAGUGAUUGCUGGUUAUGUUGUUUAGUUACCAUGAAUCCUCUAGCCUAUAGAAUACUAGUUUCACAUUGUCAAAUUAAAUUUCUCCUUUGUGGAUAAGUAAAGGUAAAAUAAUGCUAAAAUUUGACUUGUAAUUUGAAGGUCAUAUUGCCAACAUUUUCCAUGGGAGGUAUAAACUAAUCCGAAUUUCUACAAUUUUAUUAGCUUAAUACUAGAAGUCAAGUUUACCUUCCAAACACUUUUAGUUAUCUAGACAACAAGUUUUCCAGUUUAAGGAAUCAUGGGCUAGCUAAGGAAAUAAAGAAAUGCAAGAUUACUGUCGCUAAUCAUUAUUAUGUUAAAUUUCACAAUGCUUAGAAAUUGCGUUGUACUAUGUUUCACGAUACAUGAAAACUGGCAACAUGUGAAUAUAUAGUGUGGGAACUUCUGAAAGAAGUUACUGCAGAGCUAAAGUGUAGGCUUAUAUAUUCAGCUAAUGGAUUUGUGUUUCUUUUAUUGAAUGUUCCACUUGAUGUCUGACAACUCCAUAUGUGGCACACCCAACCACCAACUUUGGACUGUGCAUUUGUCUUAAACAUGGGAAGAUGGUGUUGGAUCUCCAAUUGGUGGUGUUGGGGCAGCCUACAACAACAAAGCCUUUAGUCCCAAACAAGUUGGGGUUAGGCUAGAUGUGAAACCCAUAAGAUCUCGCGGCCAACUGAUGGCUCUGGCACAUGAAUAGCAAGCUACACGGUGCAAAUCUAGAAUUGGAUGGAAUUGUAGAAGAGAGUGCACAUCUACUAGAUGGGCUCGCUGCUGUCAUUUCUUUAGGUGUUCGCCGACCAGAUUGCAGCUGUGGAGGCGGCCUAACAACUUAUGCUCCUUUGAUGGAUGAAGAUUAUAACAUGAGCCAACGCUAUGGCUCAUGUUCAACGGUUUGUCCUCUUGUGCCAAUCUGCGACAUGGCGUUGUUCAAAAGUCAUCUUGGUAACUAAAGGGGUGUUGAAGGCUUCUCCGAGCUGCAGGGUCUGCCUAGAAGUAUUCUGGACUUCAUCAUCGGAAUUACUGUCUAUAAUGUUGUGAAUUUGCUAUCAUCGUACGUAGUAUCAUCAAGUUAGCUGAUCUUUGAUUUUCACUAUUACCGUGGAUGUUCUACUAUAUAAAAAAUCUGCAAUGUCAGCAUGCUGCUCCAGAUGCCAUUUCAUACUAUUUCUAAAGUGUGUUGUCCAUUCACUUGAGGCUAGAAUCUUACUUGAUUGUUGGCCAUAUUGCAUUUUUGUUUUUUCCUCAGGACAUGUAUCCAUUUUGGACUCAAUUAGCUUUGCUCGGAUUCUGAAUGUAUUAGUGAGAGAUCAUUGUAGUUCUGGUGGCAAUGCCAUCACUGCUGAAUAUGUAAAACAGGAGACGAUAAAUGCUCUAUAUUUGAGAGUCA